UAAUACAAUAAUCCAUAAUAUUCACUGUGAUACAAAAGACUUUUCCGAUAACUGUGGGAGCUUGCUUUGGAUUUUGCUUCACUUGCAAACUUUCUUCGACUAAAGGAAAAACACAAGACGAUUAGAGCGAGCGGCACGUUCAGUUCAUUUCUGCAUUUUUGCACCACUGGUUGUUCGAGUGCGCAUCCGAUCUAAAUCUAAAAAACGACGUUGUAGCUGACUGCAUGUUCUGUGUAUCUAUGCACCUGCCUGUGUGCGUGCACCUUACAUGAGUCCGCGGGGCAUCCCCAUGCUGUAGCAUGUAGCCCUUAGCUGUCAACCAGUGGAGCGCAGGCUAGCUUCUGCGUUAGCUAUCGCUGUCGGGGCGUGUGUGUUUGUGUGCAUGUGUGUGGCGACUGGUCCUCAUGCACGUGUAUGAUUUCCACAGACUGAGCGGCGUUAAAUCACGGCAGCAGCGGUGGAGGAGAGGCAGAGAGCCGGAGCGGAGCUCCUCCGUGACCAACUCAAGCUAGAGCAGAGCAACAUCAGAAGGAUGGCUACGCAACAACCGUAGACCACCCAACAACCCCAGAAACCUCUACAUCAAGCACAAAACUCAGCAGAGCUGCACAGAGCUGGGAGCACAAAGCCGGUGGUGACAGGAAGAUGGCUGCAGCCACCAGUGGAGCCAAACCACUUCAUCACAACAGCAAAGGCAUCGCAUCACUUUCUCUCCACUCAACCAAAUUCCUUAACCUGAAUAUAUUCUCACAGAAUGCUGAUUUUACCCAUUUCUCCCAAGGACAGAUGCAGUGAGCCUGUCAAAGAGCGAACGCCUCCAUUUUGUUGUCAACAUGUUCACACCAGAAGUCAUUGCUAAGGAUUUUAUUCCCAGUGGAUGAGAAAAAGUGGUGGAAAAUGAAUCUACUCUGUGCCCCUUGAACUUCUUGGUGCAUAAUGGUGAAGUGGAGGGGAAACGAUAGUUGACUUUCCCACAGCAUGAUGCUGCCACCACUAUGUUUAACCAUGGAGAUCAGGUGUUGCAGGUGAUAUUUAGUGUUAGUUUUCCUCCACACAAAACUGUUUGCAUCGUUCUUGUCUAAUCUAUGGUGCUAUGGUGACAUUCUUGUCUAAUCUCACCAUAGCA